GAUGAACGCUGGCGGCGUGCUUAACACAUGCAAGUCGAACGAAGCACCUCUCCCGAAGAUUGACACAGCUUGCUGUAGAUUGAUUCAUUUGAGGUGACUGAGUGGCGGACGGGUGAGUAACGCGUGGGUAACCUGCCCCAUAGAGGGGGACAACAGUUGGAAACGACUGCUAAUACCGCAUAGUAAGAAGAAUUCGCAUGUUUUCUUCUUGAAAGAUUUAUCGCUAUGAGAUGGACCCGCGUCUGAUUAGCUAGUUGGUAAGGUAACGGCUUACCAAGGCGACGAUCAGUAGCCGGCUUGAGAGAGUGAACGGCCACAUUGGGACUGAGACACGGCCCAAACUCCUACGGGAGGCAGCAGUGGGGAAUAUUGCACAAUGGGGGAAACCCUGAUGCAGCGACGCCGCGUGAGUGAAGAAGUAUUUCGGUAUGUAAAGCUCUAUCAGCAGGGAAGAUAAUGACGGUACCUGACUAAGAAGCCCCGGCUAACUACGUG
rnacentral:rRNA from 1 species